GACGAACGCUGGCGGCGUGCUUAACACAUGCAAGUCGAACGGAAAGGCCCUGCUUUUGUGGGGUGCUCGAGUGGCGAACGGGUGAGUAACACGUGAGUAACCUGCCCUUGACUUUGGGAUAACUUCAGGAAACUGGGGCUAAUACCGGAUAGGAGCUCCUGAUGCAUGGUGGGGGUUGGAAAGUGUCGGCGGUGGGGGAUGGUCUCGCGGCUUAUCAGCUUGUUGGUGGGGUAGUGGCUUACCAAGGCUUUGACGGGUAGCCGGCCUGAGAGGGUGACCGGCCACAUGGGGACUGCGAUACGGCCCAGUCUCCUACGGGCGGCAGCAGUCGGGAGUAUUGCACAAUGGGCGGACGCCUGAUGCAGCAACGCCGCGUGCGGGAUGCCGGCCUUCGGGUUGUAAACCGCUUUCGCCUGUGCCGAAGCGUGAGUGACGGUAAUGGGUAAAGAAGCACCGGCUAACUACGUG
rnacentral:rRNA from 1 species